rnacentral:sRNA from 1 species
GCAUAGCUGAACAGUUACUUGAGCGUACCGAAAGGCCUGCCGUAACCCGCUUCGCUUAUGUCGUAUCUUCACCAGGGUAACCAGGGCAGGAGGUGUCAACAUGCAAAGAGGAACUGUGAAAUGGUUCAACGCCGAGAAAGGCUACGGCUUUAUCGAGGUUGAAGGUGGCGGCGACGUAUUCGUCCACUUCUCCGCAAUCACGGGCGAAGGCUUCAAAACGCUUGACGAAGGUCAAAGCGUGGAGUUCAACGUCGUAGAAGGCAGCCGCGGACCGCAGGCUGAAAACGUAGUUAAGCUGUAAGCUUGAUUGCGAAGAGAACCGGGAUCUUGGGAUCCCGGUUUUUUU